rnacentral:rRNA from 1 species
AGGACGAACGCUGGCGGCGUGCUUAACACAUGCAAGUGGAGCGACGAACCAGGGCUUGCCCUGGGGCAGAGCCGCGAACGGGUGAGUAUCACGUGGGUAACGUACCCCGAUGACUGGGACAACCCGGGGGAAACCCGGGCUAAUACCGGAUGUGCCCCCUCACAUCAGUGAGGUGUGUAAAGGAGCUUCGGCCUCCGCAUCGGGAUCGGCCUACGGCCCAUUAGCUUGUUGGUGUGGUAACGGCUCACAAGGCUGCGAUGGGUAGCUGGUCUGAGAGGACGAUCGAGCCACACGUGGGACUGAGACGACGGCCCAGACUCCGUACGGGAGGCAGCAGGUGGGAAUUCUGCGCAAGUCGCGACGAAAGGCGUGACGCGAGACGAACCGCCGGCGGUAGGGGGGAAGGAACGG